CCCGGGCUUAACCUGGAACUUCAUUUGAAACUGGCAGGCUUUAAUUUUGUAGAGGGGGGUAGAAUUCCGGUGUAAGCGGUGAAAUGCGUAGAAUUUGAAGAAUACCGGGUGGCGAAGGCGGCCCCCUGGACAAAGACUGAACGCUUCAGUGCGAAAGCGUGGGGGAGCAAACCAGGAUUAGAUACCCCUGUUAGUCCACGCCGUAAACGAUGUCGACUUGGAGGCUGUGCCCUUGAGGCGUGGCUUCCGGAGCUAACGCGUUAAGUCGACCGCCUGGGGAGUACGGCCGCAAGGUUAAAACUCAAAUGAAUUGACGGGGGCCCGCACAAGCGGUGGAGCAUGUGGUUUAAUUCGAUGCAACGCGAAGAACCUUACCUACUCUUGACAUCCACGGAAUUCGGCAGAGAUGCCUUAGUGCCUUCGGGAACCGUGAGACAGGUGCUGCAUGGCUGUCGUCAGCUCGUGUUGUGAAAUGUUGGGUUAAGUCCCGCAACGAGCGCAACCCUUAUCCUUUGUUGCCAGCGAUUCGGUCGGGAACUCAAAGGAGACUGCCGGUGAUAAACCGGAGGAAGGUGGGGAUGACGUCAAGUCAUCAUGGCCCUUACGAGUAGGGCUACACACGUGCUACAAUGGCGCAUACAAAGAGAAGCGACCUCGCGAGAGCAAGCGGACCUCACAAAGUGCGUCGUAGUCCGGAUCGGAGUCUGCAACUCGACUCCGUGAAGUCGGAAUCGCUAGUAAUCGUGGAUCAGAAUGCCACGGUGAAUACGUUCCCGGGCCUUGUACACACCGCCC
rnacentral:rRNA from 1 species